GUGAGAGUCGCGCUGACUGCAGCUUCAGACUGCGUUUCUAUUCACUAUCUGAACAAUUAAAGGUGAAAGUGAGUAAAAAAAUGGCCAACCUGUUGUGCAUCACUGUGACACUGAUCUUCCUUCUGUCUGAUGGAUGUUUGGCUGCAGUGGACCAGAACCAGCUUCCUAAUCUUAUGCUGCAGACAAAAAACAUGCUGAGCGGCAUACGAAAAAUGUACAGUGUGGCUGUAAGCGUGACUAAUGAGCAGUCAUAUAACCUACCAGCAACGUAUCAAACCAUCAUGCAACGGUUUAAUAAUGGAGUGUUUCAAGAUGACAAACUGAUUGUUGCCAUAAAAGGAGAAGGCCAGUGUCAUGCAGAGUGGCUUGCUUUGGGACAUGUUGAAAACAGUAAUUGGGUGGGGGGUCAUUUGUUGGUCAUUUUCUCAUAUGCCUCUCCUUGUUUUACAACAUGUACAAACAACAGAAACUCAUUUAAUAUUAUUGCAAAGAUUAACACCAUCAGAGGGACGAAUAAGUGGAGUAAUUAUGCAUUCGUGUUUGACAGAGUGUUUGUGCCCCGUGGUGCGGAUUAUGAUGAUGAAAUGCGCAGAAGAACAGGAGAAGGCCUCAAGAGACUGGGGACUUCUAUUGGGGGUCUUGCAAAUGUAUUUCGCUGUUAUAACCCCAGAGAUAAUUCUGGUUUUAAGUGUGUGAGCUGCUCCAGUGGUGGACAGGUUACAGCCGAAUGUAUUGAUUACAAUGCAUAAACUUGUCCCGGCCACAACAGGGGCUGAGGCAGGUACGUCAGGGUGUUGAAACGUUCUGGGGACCAAAGUGAUUCAGAUCAGAUGGAUUCAUUAGAACCUGAGCACCUCACCCUCAAGAUUAUCUGCGCUAAGCAAUGCUACUCUUCACCAUUUUUUAUAUUUUCCUCUUAUUUUUAUGAGUAAACAUGACUACCAUGACUCAGUUUUGAGGUAAUUUCCAAUCAUUUAUUUGAAUUUCCAAUUUGUUCAUAUUUACAUUUUUUGAUCCAACAAUCCAUCAAUUAAAAAAAGAAAGAAAAACAAAACAGUUCCUAAAUCUCAAUAAUGUGUUGAUCUGAAGGAUGAUAAGUGUUAAAUGGAUCACAAUGCUUCAAUUUUAAAAUAAAAAUUUAUUUUUAUUAAAUUAAAAUAAAAUAAAAGAGGCAUUUGGUGCUGGGUGAGUAGAUGUGUUGACUCCACUCCAAUUAAAACAUGAUUCUUAUUCACCAAACCACUCACAGGGAAUAAGACCUCUGACCCCCAAUGUCAAUUUAAGCUGGUAGAAAAAUAACUCUGUGUGUUAUAGAUUAUUUUCAUGUAGUUACCAAUUUAUUGUAACAUUCUGUAUUUACUUUGGUAAACUGAAAUAAGGAAAAAGUAGGUUUUGUGUAAAGUAUUUACAGUACUCAUGUCAUUGUAUUCAUUCAUGUAUUCAAUCAUCCUGUAAAGCAUUGAAAAUCCUCUCAUGUUCUGUUUUUCUGAUUAAAGCUUGGCUCA